rnacentral:tRNA from 1 species
UGUUCUGUAGCUUAGUUGGUUAAAGCGCCGGACUAGCGAUAACGGAGUCGUGGGUUCCAAUCCCACCAAAACAA